rnacentral:rRNA from 1 species
UACGUAGGCAGCAAGCGUUGUUCGGAGUUACUGGGCGUAAAGGGUGUGUAGGCGGUUGGUUAAGUUUGGUGUGAAAUCUCCCGGCUCAACUGGGAGGGUGCGCCGAAUACUGAAUGACUAGAGUGCGGGAGAGGAAAGUGGAAUUCCUGGUGUAGCGGUGAAAUGCGUAGAUAUCAGGAGGAACACCGGUGGUGUAGACGGCUUUCUGGACCGUAACUGACGCUGAGACACGAAAGCGUGGGUAGCAAACAGG